AUGCCUGUGCCCAAGUGGGGAAUCUGGAACCAGUAAGCCCGUUCGUGCAUAAAUGUAAUCCUCGGCCGCAGAAUAAACCAGCUCGGAGCCUGCAGCUGGGUUCAUCAAGGUUUGCGCAGUGGAUCCGCGAAUGAAGCCAGCCUGGAAGAUCCCCAGUCUCGAGACAGAGCCUGACAGGGGCAGAUGCACUGGAAGGACCCUGUCUGGGUUUAGCAACCAAGCAGCCAUCCUGGCCCCACAGGUGUGGGACUUCUGGGUCUUCUCCUGGCUGGCUUCUUGCUAGAGGAUUUCAAGAGACCCAGCAAGACUGUAUUGUCCCACUGAAUGCUCAAGAUAUUGGUUAGAAGUAGAAAAGGGGAGGGGGUAGUAUUUAGCCUCUGUC
rnacentral:lncRNA from 1 species